ensembl:snRNA U2 U2 spliceosomal RNA
GCCCCUCGGGGGCCUUUGGGCUCCAGUCAUUUAUAUUGAACCCACACCGCUGCAGCUGAGAGCGCGUCACGUCUACAUAUUAAGCAGAUUUUUAGAACAGGGAGUCGGCAAAGGGGCUUGGUCAAGCAUCUUGGACAAGCUCCUUCCGCUCCACGCAUUGACCCAGUAUUGCAGUGCCUCUGGGAGCGGUGCAGGGUGG